rnacentral:rRNA from 1 species
GGUAACGGCCCACCAAGGCGACGAUUGGUAGCCGGACUGAGAGGUUGAACGGCCACAUUGGGACUGAGACACGGCCCAGACUCCUACGGGAGGCAGCAGUGGGGGAUAUUGCACAAUGGGGGAAACCCUGAUGCAGCGACGCCGCGUGGAGGAAGAAGGUUUUCGGAUUGUAAACUCCUGUCGUUAGGGACGAUAAUGACGGUACCUAACAAGAAAGCACCGGCUAACUACGUGCCAGCAGCCGCGGUAAAACGUAGGGUGCAAGCGUUGUCCGGAAUUACUGGGUGUAAAGGGAGCGCAGGCGGACCGGCAAGUUGGAAGUGAAAACUAUGGGCUCAACCCAUAAAUUGCUUUCAAAACUGCUGGCCUUGAGUAGUGCAGAGGUAGGUGGAAUUCCCGGUGUAGCGGUGGAAUGCGUAGAUAUCGGGAGGAACACCAGUGGCGAAGGCGACCUACUGGGCACCAACUGACGCUGAGGCUCGAAAGCAUGGGUAGCAAACAGGAUUAGAUACCCUGGUAGUCCAUGCCGUAAAUGAUGAUUACUAGGUGUUGGAGGAUUGACCCCUUCAGUGCCGCAGUUAACACAAUAAGUAAUCCACCUGGGGAGUACGACCGCAAGGUUGAAACUCAAAGGAAUUGACGGGGGCCCGCACAAGCAGUGGAGUAUGUGGUUUAAUUCGAAGCAACGCGAAGAACCUUACCAGGUCUUGACAUCCGAUGCAUAGCUUAGAGAUAAGUGAAGUCCUUCGGGACAUCGAGACAGGUGGUGCAUGGUUGUCGUCAGCUCGUGUCGUGAGAUGUUGGGUUAAGUCCCGCAACGAGCGCAACCCUUAUUGCCAGUUACUACGAAAGAGGACUCUGGCGAGACUGCCGUUGACAAAACGGAGGAAGGUGGGGAUGACGUCAAAUCAUCAUGCCCUUUAUGACCUGGGCUACACACGUACUACAAUGGCGUUUAACAAAGAGAAGCAAGACCGCGAGGUGGAGCAAAACUCAAAAACAACGUCUCAGUUCAGAUUGCAGGCUGCAACUCGCCUGCAUGAAGUCGGAAUUGCUAGUAAUCGCGGAUCAGCAUGCCGCGGUGAAUACGUUCCCGGGCCUUGUACACACCGCCCGUCACACCAUGAGAGCCGGGGGGACCCGAAGUCGGUAGUCUAACCGCAAGGAGGACGCCGCCGAAGGUAAAACUGGUGAUUGGGGUGAAGUCGUAACAAGGUAGCCGUA